rnacentral:lncRNA from 1 species
UUGCCUUGGUACACACUGAUAUUUGUGGCCCAUUCGAUAUGUAGGUCAAGGAUGGUUAUCAGUACUUUAUAACCUUACUGAUAAUUAUUCACGAUAUGGGUAUAUUUUUCUUAUGAGAUACAAGUCUGAAGCUUUUAAAAAAAUUCAAAAAAUUCAAAUAUGAAGUAAAAAAGUAAUUAAAAAAACUCUCUAAAGUUCUUCGAUC